GGGCCCGCACAAGCGGUGGAGCAUGUGGUUUAAUUCGAUGAUACGCGAGGAACCUUACCAGGGCUUAAAUGUAAGUUGCAUGGAUCAGAGAUGAUCCUUUCUUCGGACCACUUACAAGGUGCUGCAUGGUUGUCGUCAGCUCGUGCCGUGAGGUGUCAGGUUAAGUCCUAUAACGAGCGCAACCCCUAUCGUUAGUUGCCAGCAAGUAAAGUUGGGUACUCUAGCGAGACUGCCGGUGCAAACCGAGAGGAAGGUGGGGAUGACGUCAAAUCAUCACGGCCCUUACGUCCUGGCUACACACGUGCUACAAUGGCCGGUACAGAGAGCAGCCACCACGCGAGUGGGAGCG
rnacentral:rRNA from 1 species